UACGUAGGGUGCGAGCGUUAAUCGGAAUUACUGGGCGUAAAGCGUGCGCAGGCGGUGAUGUAAGACAGAUGUGAAAUCCCCGGGCUUAACCUGGGAACUGCAUUUGUGACUGCAUCGCUGGAGUGCGGCAGAGGGGGAUGGAAUUCCGCGUGUAGCAGUGAAAUGCGUAGAUAUGCGGAGGAACACCGAUGGCGAAGGCAAUCCCCUGGGCCUGCACUGACGCUCAUGCACGAAAGCGUGGGGAGCGAACAGG
rnacentral:rRNA from 1 species